UUCAAAAUUUAAAUGUAGAAGUUUAACAAUUAAAGUGAAAUACAUCAGAUACUUCUAACAAAGUUCGUAAGUAAAAUUUUCAGUUUGUCAAUCAAAUAAAUAAAAUCCAAGAUGGCCAAGUUUAUUAUUUUGAUGCUAGUAUCUCUGUUGGUCGUAAAGAUUUGCGCUGAAGACUGUUUAAAAACUGGGGAUACUUGUGAGGAAGAUGAACAGUGUUGCAAUGGAAAAUGUUCAGAAUUUCACGGGGACAAAAGUUGUUUGGCAACAGAUGAAGAAAUUGAAAAAGUUAAGAAGGAAAUGGCAGCAAUGCUUCAAUCUACUUGAUUAUUAAUUAUAAAAUGUAUGAUUAAUAAUUCCUAAUUAUUAAUUAUCAAAUUUAAGUCAUAAAUAAAUGAAAUUUAUGAUCA